rnacentral:rRNA from 1 species
CUCCUGGAAACGGGUGGUAAUGCCGGAUGUUCCAGUUGAUCGCAUGGUCUUCUGGGAAAGCUUUCGCGGUAUGGGAUGGGGUCGCGUCCUAUCAGCUUGACGGCGGGGUAACGGCCCACCGUGGCUUCGACGGGUAGCCGGCCUGAGAGGGCGACCGGCCACAUUGGGACUGAGAUACGGCCCAGACUCCUACGGGAGGCAGCAGUGGGGAAUAUUGCACAAUGGGCGCAAGCCUGAUGCAGCGACGCCGCGUGAGGGAUGGAGGCCUUCGGGUUGUAAACCUCUUUUAUCGGGGAGCAAGCGUGAGUGAGUUUACCCGUUGAAUAAGCACCGGCUAACUACGUGCCAGCAGCCGCGGUAAUACGUAGGGUGCAAGCGUUAUCCGGAAUUAUUGGGCGUAAAGGGCUCGUAGGCGGUUCGUCGCGUCCGGUGUGAAAGUCCAUCGCUUAACGGUGGAUCCGCGCCGGGUACGGGCGGGCUUGAGUGCGGUAGGGGAGACUGGAAUUCCCGGUGUAACGGUGGAAUGCGUAGACAUCGGGAAGCACGCC